UCGGCAACGGAUAUCUCGGCUCUCGCAUCGAUGAAGAACGUAGCGAAAUGCGAUACUUGGUGUGAAUUGCAGAAUCCCGUGAACCAUCGAGUCUUUGAACGCAAGUUGCGCCUUAAGCCUUCUGGCCGAGGGCACGUCUGCCUGGGUGUCACAAAUCGUCGUCCC
rnacentral:rRNA from 2 species